rnacentral:rRNA from 1 species
GAUGAACGCUGGCGGCGUGCCUAAUACAUGCAAGUCGAGCGAACAGACGAGGAGCUUGCUCCUCUGACGUUAGCGGCGGACGGGUGAGUAACACGUGGAUAACCUACCUAUAAGACUGGGAUAACUUCGGGAAACCGGAGCUAAUACCGGAUAAUAUAUUGAACCGCAUGGUUCAAUAGUGAAAGACGGUUUUGCUGUCACUUAUAGAUGGAUCCGCGCCGCAUUAGCUAGUUGGUAAGGUAACGGCUUACCAAGGCAACGAUGCGUAGCCGACCUGAGAGGGUGAUCGGCCACACUGGAACUGGGACACGGUCCAGACUCCUACGGGAGGCAGCAGUAGGGAAUCUUCCGCAAUGGGCGAAAGCCUGACGGAGCAACGCCGCGUGAGUGAUGAAGGUCUUCGUAUCGUAAAACUCUGUUAUUAGGGAAGAACAAAUGUGUAAGUAACUAUGCACGUCUUGACGGUACCUAAUCAGAAAGCCACGGCUAACUACGUG